rnacentral:rRNA from 1 species
UACGUAGGGUGCGAGCGUUGUCCGGAAUUACUGGGCGUAAAGAGCUCGUAGGUGGUUUGUCGCGUUGUUCGUGAAAACUCACAGCUUAACUGUGGGCGUGCGGGCGAUACGGGCAGACUGGAGUACUGCAGGGGAGACUGGAAUUCCUGGUGUAGCGGUGGAAUGCGCAGAUAUCAGGAGGAACACCGGUGGCGAAGGCGGGUCUCUGGGCAGUAACUGACGCUGGAGGAGCGAAAAGCGUGGGGGAGCGAACAGG